rnacentral:rRNA from 1 species
GACGAACGCUGGCGGCGUGCUUAACACAUGCAAGUCGAACGGUAAGGCCUCUUCGGGGGUACACGAGUGGCGAACGGGUAAGUAACACGUGAGUAACCUGCCCUUGACUUUGGGAUAACAUCUGGAAACAGGUGCUAAUACCGGAUAUGAGCCUUUUCCGCCUGGGGAGGGUUGGAAAGCUCCGGCGGUCAUGGAUGGACUCGCGGCCUAUCAGCUUGUUGGUGAGGUAGUGGCUCACCAAGGCUCCGACGGGUAGCCGGCCUGAGAGGGCGACCGGCCACAUUGGGACUGAGAUACGGCCCAAACUCCUACGGGAGGCAGCAGUGGGGAAUAUUGCACAAUGGGCGGAAGCCUGAUGCAGCAACGCCGCGUGCGGGAUGACGGCCUUCGGGUUGUAAACCGCUUUCAGCAGGGACGAAGCUAACGUGACGGUACCUGCAGAAGAAGCACCGGCUAACUACGUGCCAGCCGCCGCAGUAACAC